rnacentral:rRNA from 1 species
CCUACGGGUGGCUGCAGUGGGGAAUAUUGCACAAUGGGCGCAAGCCUGAUGCAGCCAUGCCGCGUGUGUGAAGAAGGCCUUCGGGUUGUAAAGCACUUUCAGCGGGGAGGAAGGCGGUGAGGUUAAUAACCUCAUCGAUUGACGUUACCCGCAGAAGAAGCACCGGCUAACUCCGUGCCAGCAGCCGCGGUAAUACGGAGGGUGCAAGCGUUAAUCGGAAUGACUGGGCGUAAAGCGCACGCAGGCGGUCUGUCAAGUCGGAUGUGAAAUCCCCGGGCUCAACCUGGGAACUGCAUUCGAAACUGGCAGGCUAGAGUCUUGUAGAGGGGGGUAGAAUUCCAGGUGUAGCGGUGAAAUGCGUAGAGAUCUGGAGGAAUACCGGUGGCGAAGGCGGCCCCCUGGACAAAGACUGACGCUCAGGUGCGAAAGCGUGGGGAGCAAACAGGAUUAGAUACCCGGGUAGUC